UGUCACAAGUUGCUGAAAGAAAAACUCCAAGUCGCAUUUUAAAUCUCAACAAACCAGGACUUAAAGAUACCUGAACACUUCUGAAGCAUGAAUGAGGAAUCACAGAGAAGAUCUACAGUUUGGUGUCUUCUUUGUGGCACUGAAUAUUAUUCUAUUCAAAAUUGCAGUGUUGUUUUUGAUGAUUCUCUUUUUGGAAAGUCCAAUAGAGAGACUGCUUUUCCUAUCCAAACAAAAGUCCCCUUUCCUGGACUAUGACUACAGUGCUUCAAGUAAAACAUGCCAAGAACAGGAAUUGGCAAAAAUAUCUGUUGCAGCUGCCACUGAAAACCACAACUGACAGCAGAAGAUAUUUGUGAUAUUUUGGUGUUUCUGUUUACAAACAGAAGCUCAGCAAGUUA